GUUUCGCGCGAAAACAAAAUGCCAAAAAAAUUUCAUUUCCCUCUCUGUGCCAUGAAUAUAUUUUGUUUCCUUCAUUUUCAGACCCAUACUCGAAAACCCCCCAAACCCCAAACACAGAAACCCCAAUGGAGAGACCCAUACUCGGAAACCCCCAAACCCCAAAGGCAGAAACCCCAACGGAGAGACCCAAACUCAAACCUCAGUUAGCGUCGAAACCCCAAACGGAGAGACCCAAACCCACGGUAGAGCCAUCUGCGGUUCUUCCGAGCUCCAUCGGAUACGGCUCCUCCCAUCUCCCUCUACACUUACACGACUGACUAUUAAGCACAGUUUUUGGCUGGUAUUGGUGGUGGUGGGCUUGGGUUCUUCGCUGUGAAAAUGUCACUAAUUCCACUCUCUUAAUUUACUAGCACAAUUUUUAUUUUAAUCGCAAUCGCAAUCCCUCUGCACUUGCACGACUGAAUUUGAUUUGCUACAUUCAAGAUAGUCGAAUUGUUUAAAAAUAUAAGGGAGAUGAUGUUGCAUCACACAUUCUCUUUGUCUCUCGCCCUUUACUAGAUGACUGUGAUGAAGCCUAGACACCUCGUGUUGUGGCUCACUGUCUUCAGGUUCAUACGAAUGUGAUGGGGUUGCUAGUUAGGAUUUUUCUUUAGACCUCUUGGACUAUCCAUAAUCUCAUUUAUGUCAGCAACUCUGUAAGUUCAUUCAAAUGUAUAUUGUUCUUUUUUUUAUAUGUCUGAUUUCUUGUUUUUUUUUUUUCCGUUUGGGAUCUAGCUUUUUGAGUUAUUAUGUCUGCAUCUUCCCUAAUAAAGGACUGUAGAUUGUAUUUUAUUUGGGAACUCAGCCCUAUUCAAGCAAAUGCGAUCAUUUUGUAUGACAUUGGCAUAUCUAUUUUGUUUAUAUGCUGAUUGGGUUACACACCUUGAUGUGUGGUAGUUGGUUCAAAGUUUGUGUUUAUAUGCUAUAAUGGCUUUAAUUCAACAAGCAAGACUUGAUUUGAUAAAAAUUAGUUGAUUGUAUAUUUAUCUACACCCAAUUGCAAUAACUGCUAAAAUAUUUAGCCCACUAUAUAUUAUGAUUUACAUUUUCUGUACAUAAAUUGUUGCAAAAGAAUCUCUAUAAACAUUUAUGAUCUCAUUUGUUAGUGGAAAACUGAUCUUAAACACUAAACUUACUAGAGUUUUUAAUUUUGUUAAAUAUGGGUGUUGCUGCACUUUAGAAGUACAUAGGGAACUUAGGUGGUAUAUAUGUUAUAUAGGAGCCUUUAAUGUUUCCUCAAGCACCUAUUUUACUCCAAAAGACUUAAAUAUCUAAAUUAUUCCAGAAAACGUAGAAAAGAAUGAGGGACCUGAGACACCAGCUAGGACUUUGAAGUCGUCUUUUCUCGUAACACUACUCAGGUUUGCUUUUCUUAAAGCCAAUAACUAUUGAUGCUUGGGGACUUUGAAGCCUUCUUUUCUCGCAACACUACUCAGUUUGAAUUUUCUAAAGCCAAUAACUAUUGAUGCUUGGUGAAGUAGUAUAUCAUUAUCCCUAUCAACCAUAAUACAAUUUUUGUCAAGUUAUUGGUGAGCAAACUCAUUAUCCCAAUAAGUUGCCUACAAGGCAACAUUCCAAAGUUUUAAAUAAUUAAUAAUUAAGUUGAUUAUAGAAUUUUAAAUAACAUGACUUGGGGUAAUAACAUGAUAUGGAAUAUACAUCUAACUUUUUUAUUUUUUAUAAUGUUAAUAAUAAUGUUUAGGUUAAUAUUUUGAUUGGUCUUAAAACAUUGGAUUGGUAGCUAAUUGCAAGAGGUAUGUUGUAUUUGAUUUUUUUUUAAUUUUCAAUAUUUUACAAUUUUGAAUGCAUAUAAUUUUUAAUGCAGGUCAGUUUAGACGCAAUGUUUGAUGUACAGAUCAAGCGAAUACAUGAGUACAAAAGACAGUUGCUUAAUAUCCUCGGCAUUAUCCAUCGAUAUGAUUGUAUCAAGAAUAUGAAUGAGAGUGACAGGAGGAAGGUUGUACCGCGUGUAUUUGGGCAUAUGGAAAGAAUGAGAGAUAUGUUUCUGAAGACAUUUAGUGAGAUCAUAUGCUUUACUAAGUGUUUUUGAUUGCUUGACCAUUCAGAACUUUAUUUUAUCUAAGAACCUAUGCACAUUGUGUGAGCGUGACUGUUUCUAUGCAGCACUGCAGGGCAUGAGGCCUCAGGAACUGGUAGCAUGAAAUUUCUUAUUAAUUGAUGUCUACUCUUAGCUACAGCUGAUGGUUCAACAGUUGAAAUUAUUGAAGAAAUUGGGGCAGAAAAUAUGUUUUUGUUUGGUGCAAAGCUGGAUGAAGUUCCCAUCUUGCGUGAGAGAGAACCCAACGCGAAAGUGAAUCUGCAAUUUGCACGGGUUGUGAGGUAGUACCCGUUUUCCCUUUUCACUGCCAGUUCAUUAUCAUCUGAUCAUCAAUAUCCCAACAAAUGCUUGCCACAGCUAAUUUAGUGAACUAGUCACAUGUAAUUUCUAACUGACAAUAAAACUAGCUUUCAGAUAGAUAGUUCGGCUUACCGAAUCAAAUUUGCCGAAGUAUUCAAUAUUGUGCUUCUGUCCAGCCUUUGUUUUGGACGGCCAAAAAAUUAACAUUCUGAUGCUUGCUCGAAGCAUACCUUGAUAGGUUUUCCUUAGAAUAGGAUCAACCUGUUAGACCCAAGCACAAUAUUACAAAGAGUGGAGAAUUGUCCCAGAAGAUGUGAGAGCUUCAUUGCGACACUAUAUUUUGGAACAUUUUGACAUCAACUUGAAUGAUGAGACAACUAAAAAAUGCAUUGAUGAACAAAUGAGAAAAGCUUGGAAGGGUCAUUGUGGGUAAUCAACCAACUUAUGAAGAGUUAGUUGAAUGACUUAAUGAUACAACUUCUCGCCUUAAUGCUACUAACGAACAACUUAGUGUAGUUGUGGAUAUACUUCGUCAUAACAAUUUGAUGGCACUGCCUCCACCACCUCCAACAGACCAAGCUUCAGAUGCAAAUUUAAGAGAGUCGUCAUCUAUUUCAAUUCGGGAGUCACAAGAUGAUUCUUAGUUUAUUUACAUUAAUUUACUAAGGAAUGAACUUUAUGAAGUUUUUUUUAUUUUGGUAGGGGUAACCUUAAAAUGAUAACUGUAUGACUUAUUUUAGUAUUGAACAUUAUAAAGAAUUUUAGCAUUAAACAUUUUAUUAUUGAA